UAGCCAUUAUGACUGAUUUAGCUGAAUAACCUUGGGUCUGCUUCAGGCUGCAGGUUGGCCGAACUUAGCUACCUGUUGAAGUUUAGGUCUGCAUCAUAUUUCUCCACAUUUAUCUCGGACCAGCAGAUAUUUAGGCUAUUGGCAGAAGCAUACCCGGGCAAACCAAACCAUGGGAGUACUUUCUAACCCCCUGUUCACAUUAUGUUCAAUAACAUCCUACUGGCCUAAGUAAGAACGAUGGUCACUUAGCCAGGUGUCGUGGUGUGCGCCUGUAGUCCCAGCUACUCAGGAGGCUGAGGCAGGAGAAUCACUUGAACCUGGGAGGCAGAGGUUGCAGCAAGCCGAGAUUGCGCCAUUGGACUUCAGCCCGGGCAACAAGAGCGAAACUAAGUCUUAAAAAAAAAAAGGCCUCACUCACUGCCGACCUGCCUCGCCACGCCCCGGGCAUGCCCUGCCACCACCUCACAGAAAUGCUUCGGUUCCCCACUGUCUUUAGAUAAGACCAUUGUCCAGGGUAUUGGUUCCUCAUCUCACUCGGGCUUAUGCCAAAGAUGUAAAAUUCAGUGCAGAU
rnacentral:lncRNA from 1 species